UGGGGAAUUUUGGACAAUGGGCGAAAGCCUGAUCCAGCAAUGCCGCGUGUGUGAAGAAGGCCUUCGGGUUGUAAAGCACUUUUGUCCGGAAAGAAAUCCUUGGCUCUAAUACAGUCGGGGGAUGACGGUACCGGAAGAAUAAGCACCGGCUAACUACGUGCCAGCAGCCGCGGUAAUACGUAGGGUGCAAGCGUUAAUCGGAAUUACUGGCGUAAGCGUGCGCAGGCGGUUUGCUAAGACCGAUGUGAAAUCCCCGGGCUCAACCUGGGAACUGCAUUGGUGACUGGCAGGCUAGAGUAUGGCAGAGGGGGGUAGAAUUCCACGUGUGAGCAGUGAAAUGCGUAGAGAUGUGGAGGAAUACCGAUGGCGAAGGCAGCCCCCUGGGCCAAUACUGACGCUCAUGCACGAAAGCGUGGGGAGCAAACAGGAUU
rnacentral:rRNA from 1 species